AGGUACAAUCUGGAGGUACCACCAGCACAGGACUACUUGAAUCCAAAUAGUGUGCAGUUUUUCACAUCACCCAGAAACGGACACCUUGCUGAAACUUUCAGGGACGGUCAGAGAGCCGAUCUGUGAGUGGGACACCGAUAGAUUGGGCUCUCUAGUGCUCGGCUCAGGACCUAAAAGGGAAGGAAGAGAGAAAUUUGGACACAGACAUACAGACACAGAGAGAAGAUGGCCAUGUGAAGUUGGAGGCAGAGAAUGAAAUAAUGCUUCCACAAGCCAAGGAACACCAAGGAUUCUGGGAACCACCAGAAGCCAGAAGAGACAAGGAAGGAUUCUUCCCUAGAGGCUUUAGAGAGAGAGUAUGGGCCUGCUGACACCCUGGUUUCAGAUUUCUAGCCUCCAGAACUGUGAGAGAAUAAAUUUCUGUUAUUUUAAGCCCCCCAAUUUGUGAUACUUUGUUAAGGGAGCCUUAGGAAACUAACACAGUAACCCAGUGCUGUGCACAUCACAGCUGGGUCCCCUAAGUAUGGGUGGAGCAGGGUUUGAGAGACCAGUUAGAUGGACUGGGGUGUGUGUGCCCAUUUUGGGGUGGUGAGGGAGAGCAGUAUAAAAAUAAGGUGUUUACUCAUCCAGCCACUGACCCACUUGUAGACAGUGUCUCUGCGUAACUUUGCACGUGUGUGUUUGCAUGUCAGUUGUGUCUGGGGGGUGUGGCUGCAGUCUUUUUUUUUUUUUUUUUUUUUGGUGAGGAGGGGCAUUCUUCAGAUUGGUGACAACUUAAAAGGUAAGGAUUCCAUUUGGGAAACUCUGCCCCCUACCUCCAGUCACCCUGUCCACCCCUAGAUCUCACAUGAUGACAUACUGUACUUAGAUUAAGAAACUUGCCCGAGUGUUCAUGCCAGUUAGUUAGAAAAGGAAAAUUCAGAUCCAGAAGUCUGGUUCCAAAGACCCUGCCUUCUUCAUGAGUUCAAACUCUCAAGCUAAAGAAAGUAAACUCUUUUCAAAAAGGUAUGGGCGAUUCAGUUUGCUUUCUAUAAGCACUUCUUUCUAAAUUUGUAAGUAACACUUGUUUUUUAAUUUUUUUGUUUAUUUUUAAGAGAGAGACAGAGCAUGAGUGGGGGAGGG